UACGUAGGGAGCAAGCGUUGUUCGGAAUUAUUGGGCGUAAAGAGCGCGUAGGCGGUUCGGUAAGUCUGAUGUGAAAUCCCGGAGCUUAACUCCGGAACUGCAUUGGAUACUGCCGGACUUGAGUGUGGGAGAGGAGAGUGGAAUUCCCAGUGUAGAGGUGAAAUUCGUAGAUAUUGGGAGGAACACCCGUGGCGAAGGCGGCUCUCUGGACCACAACUGACGCUGAGGCGCGAAAGCUAGGGUAG
rnacentral:rRNA from 1 species